rnacentral:lncRNA from 1 species
AGGAAUAAUACUGCCUUUUCUUUCUGGCAUGGAUCAAGAGAAAAGAAAAUACAAGAAAACAGACAGAAGCAAGGCAAGGUACUUCUAUGGAAGGGUGAGCCCUCACAGAUGGAGCAAUGGGGCGCGCACACCUGAACAAGGGAGGGGAAGGAGUUCUUAUCCCUGAUGCAUGUGACCCCUGCUGCUGUGUCCUUCCCCUAUUGGCUAAGAUGAUUUAUAAUCAGCUAUAUAAUUUUGACACGUGCUCUCAAACGCAGGCUUCUGACAGCUUUGGAGAUUGUGACAUUGGAAUAAAGGAAAAACGUACAGGACUCAUGAAGCGCUGAAAUGUUCACAAAUAUCAAGCAAAAGUCAAUGAAAUUUAUUUUGAGCUAUUUACAUCAUUUAAUAAUUGAGCAAGGUAUACUCCUAUGAACAAAAUUUGGAGCAUGUUUGUCUCUCUCUGCCUGGCGUCUUCAGAAUUUGGAAACUAGUUAGUCAUGGAAAUUUAUUUUGAGCUAUUUACAGCAUUUAAUAAUUGAGCAAGGUAUACUCCUAUGAACAAAAUUUGGAGCAUGUUUGUCUCUCUCUGUCUGCCUGGCAUCUACAGAAUUUGGAAACUAGUUUCGUUCCCAGAUUUCCUAAACUUUCCAGAGAAAAUGGUCUUCUCCCUGGCUCAGCAAGAAGAUGAACUUUAAACACUGAGAAACUGGUCAUCUCCCUGGCUCAACCAGAAGAUGAACUUUAAACACUACUCUCAAUGACUUGAUGUUCCCAUCACUACUCCUGUCAUAAAGGGAGGGGACUCAGAUAUUGAGAAUUUUAUGAUAGUGUGAACUGUCUGGUAUGUCAUUUAAGUAAGCCCGUUGCUGAAAUAUUUUCCAUGUUAUUAGAAAGAGCUGAAGAGAGGGAUUGAGAUGGCUUCUUUAUUUUUUGUCUUUUGGGAAUUAAAGGAACCUGGUUCAACAAGGGCCUACACCUAAGUCUCUUGUUGUACCAGAGUACAAUUUAGGACUGCUCCUGAGGAAGGAAUUAGCUAGAAAUCUAGAGAGUAAGGGUAACAGAUUUACAUAGAAUAACAGCCUCAGUAUUUUUGGUUCCUCUCCAGUAAAGAUCACAAAGAAUAUUGCUAAAUCGCUAAAACACCUUUGCAAUAACGUAAGGGCUUACAACUAUAUACCAAUGUAGCUCAGUUACUAAACUGGAGUAAACUAAUUUCUCUUGUGUAGAAAAAUUGGUUGGCUGUGGUUUUAUAGCAGAUCUGCAAUUAUUAAUAGUUAUGCCAAUAAUCGUUUAACAGUGCAUAUGUUAAUAUAUAUGGAAAGACAAUGUGUAUAGACAGAUGUGUAAAAUUGAAAAAUAAACAUAUAACAAGAGAGAAACAUCUAUCGAACAGACAAUAUACAUACACAUCAAACACAACAGCAGUUUUAGUGACCAUAAUAUUUAUUUCUCAUUUUUACAUUGCUUACUUUAGUGACAACUGAAAAUGACAGUUGGCAAUGCAGCUAACAGUUUCAAUAAAAGUAUAAAACAAAA